GUGCUCGCUUCGGCAGCACAUAUACUAAAAUUGGAACGAUACAGAGAAGAUUAGCAAAAAAAAAAAAAAUGGAACCUGAGGUUCAGAGAGGUUACCUAAGCUA